rnacentral:rRNA from 1 species
AACGAACGCUGGCGGCAUGCCUAACACAUGCAAGUCGAACGAUACCUUCGGGUCUAGUGGCGCACGGGUGCGUAACGCGUGGUAACCUGCCCUUAGGUUCGGAAUAACUCCCCGAAAGGGGUGCUAAUACCGGAUAAUGUCUUCGGACCAAAGAUUUAUCGCCUUUGGAUGGGCCCGCGUUGGAUUAGCUAGUUGGUAGGGUAAAAGCCUACCAAGGCGACGAUCCAUAGCUGGUCUGAGAGGAUGAUCAGCCACACUGGGACUGAGACACGGCCCAGACUCCUACGGGAGGAAGCAGUGGGGAAUAUUGGACAAUGGGCGAAAGACUGAGCCAGCAAUGCCGCGUGAGUGAUGAAGGACUUAGGGUUGUAAAGCUCUUUUACCCGGGAUGAUAAUGACAGUACCGGGAGAAUAAGCGCCGGCUAACUCCGUG